GGUAGGCAGAGAGAGUCCAGAAUCCUCUUCCAUGCUCAAAGUCUCUGAUAUGGGGAGAACAAUGUAGUCUUUGCCAUCCUGAAACAACAAACACAGAGUGCUUAUUGUUAUGGCUCCAGCCCCGCAAGAGGCUUUUCAUGAAAAAACAAAGGCCAGGGGGGCUUCUUGGUUAUGAGAAGAGCAUCUGAAGACAACAAAAAGAUACAUCAGGAGGAAAGAGUGAUCUGCCCUUAGGUUAUGGAUUAGGAUCUCAUCUCUCUAGAAGCGUAGGCAGAUAGUUUUAAAAAAGCAUUAUUGCUUAGAUCUACAAGAAUAUGGUGGCCAUGGGAAGGCCUAGAGAGGAAGAAGCCCUUGUGGACGGGUCUUGGAUGGAGAUCACAAACCUGCUGAGCAUUAGCCUGUAGCAGAUUUCCCAAAUGUUCCACCAACUCGGAAAACGUGGGUCUCUGAUUGGGUUCCCCAUGCCAGCAGUCAAGCAUGGUCUGGUACCUAGAGAAGCAAAACACUAAUGUCAUUAACUGCCUCCUCCUUCCUCAGCUGAUGCUGAAAAUAGGCACUUGAGUGAGUAAACAUUUAUGAGAAGUUCACCACGAGCCCAGAUGCUAAAUAGUAAUACAACACCAUAUAAAACACCGGGCCCUAUACUUUGGAGCAUCAAGUAUGUAGAGAAAAUGUUAGAAAUCAACACCUAAUAAAAACUAUCUGCUUGGUAUAGAUAAAGUGCUGUUGUUUCAAGAAGAGAUGAUUCUCUGCUUGAGAUUAUCAAGGAAGACUUCCAGGGAGUCGUAGCACACAGACCGGGCCAUAAAAGAGGUCUGUAUCAUGAAACAUCUUCUGGGCAGGGAGAACUUUUAUGAGCAAAGAAAGGAUAGAAAGAUAUUUUUAAAGCCUUACAUUUCUGGUGUGGUAUAAUCAGGGGCCCUCAUUCUGGUGCCUUCUUUCAAUCGCCUACAAAAUUCUUCAUCAAUCUUUACUCCAGGAUACGGAGAAGCACCUAGAAUCAAACAGGAAUGGGACAUUAUCUGAUUUGAUUCUUUCAUCUUGGAAACUCUCAUUCUUGAACAUGAUCAUUAAAAAAAAAAAAAAUCCAAAGCUUCCAAGUAACUUUCACCACAGAAAGGUGGAACACG